rnacentral:rRNA from 1 species
UACGAAGGGGGCUAGCGUUGUUCGGAAUCACUGGGCGUAAAGCGCGCGUAGGCGGAUUGUUAAGUCAGGGGUGAAAUGCCGAGGCUCAACCUCGGAACUGCCUUUGAUACUGGCAAUCUUGAGUCCGGGAGAGGUGAGUGGAACUCCUAGUGUAGAGGUGAAAUUCGUAGAUAUUCGGAAGAACACCAGUGGCGAAGGCGACUCACUGGACACAUAUUGACGCUGAGGUGCGAAAGCGUGGGGAGCAAACAGG